CCUACGGGGGGCAGCAGUGAGGAAUAUUGGUCAAUGGACGAGAGCCUGAACCAGCCAAGUAGCGUGAAGGAUGACUGCCCUAUGGGUUGUAAACUUCUUUUAUAUGGGAAUAAAAUGUUCCACGUGUGGGAUUUUGUAUGUACCAUAUGAAUAAGGAUCGGCUAACUCCGUGCCAGCAGCCGCGGUAAUACGGAGGAUCCGAGCGUUAUCCGGAUUUAUUGGGUUUAAAGGGAGUGUAGAUGGAUUGUUAAGUCAGUUGUGAAAGUUUGCGGCUCAACCGUAAAAUUGCAGUUGAAACUGGCAGUCUUGAGUACAGUAGAGGUAGGCGGAAUUCGUGGUGUAGCGGUGAAAUGCUUAGAUAUCACGAAGAACUCCGAUUGCGAAGGCAGCUCACUGGACUGCAACUGACACUGAGGCUCGAAAGUGUGGGGAGCAAACAGGAUUAGAUACCCCAGUAGUC
rnacentral:rRNA from 1 species